ACGGAAGAUCCGAGCGUUAUCCGGAAUUAUUGGGUUUAAAGGGAGCGUAGGCGGAUGAUCAAGUCAGUUGUGAAAGUUUGGGGCUCAACCUUGAAAUUGCAGUUGAAACUGGUUAUCUUGAGUGUACAUAACGGUGGUGGAAUUUGUGGUGUAGCGGUGAAAUGCAUAGAUAUCACGAAGAACUCCGAUUGCGAAGGCAGCCACCGGGGGUGCAACUGACGCUGAGGCUCGAAAGUGCGGGAAUCAAACAG
rnacentral:rRNA from 1 species